GAUGAAGAACGCAGCGAAAUGCGAUAAGUAAUGUGAAUUGCAGAAUUCAGUGAAUCAUCGAAUCUUUGAACGCACAUUGCGCCCCUUGGUAUUCCGGGGGGCAUGCCUGUUCGAGCGUCAUUUCAACCCCUCAAGCUCGGCUUGGUGUUGGGCUGCGCCAGCGUUGCUGGCGGGCCUUAAAAUCAGUGGCGGUGCCGUUUGGGCUCCAAGCGUAGUAGCAUCUCUCGCUCUGGAGACCCGGCGGUUGCUUGCCAGACAAUGACCAAAAAAACAAAGGUUUGACCUCGGAUCAGGUAGGGAUACCCGCUGAACUUAAGCAUAUCAAUAAGCGGAGGA
rnacentral:misc_RNA from 1 species